CCUACGGGAGGCAGCAGUGAGGAAUAUUGGUCAAUGGGCUUACGCCUGAACCAGCCAAGUCGCGUGAGGGAAGACUGCCCUAUGGGUUGUAAACCUCUUUUGUCAGGGAGCAACGCCGGCUACGUGUAGCCGGACUGAGAGUAACUGAAGAAAAAGCAUCGGCUAACUCCGUGCCAGCAGCCGCGGUAAUACGGAGGAUGCGAGCGUUAUCCGGAUUUAUUGGGUUUAAAGGGUGCGUAGGCGGAAUGCCAAGUCAGCGGUAAAAGCGCGGGGCUCAACCGCGCUCCGCCGUUGAAACUGGCGUUCUUGAGUGGGCGAGAGGUAUGCGGAAUGCGUGGUGUAGCGGUGAAAUGCAUAGAUAUCGCGCAGAACUCCGAUUGCGAAGGCAGCAUACCGGCGCCCAACUGACGCUGAAGCACGAAAGCGUGGGUAUCGAACAGGAUUAGAUACCCUAGUAGUC
rnacentral:rRNA from 1 species